UUAAUCAGUAUUGAUUGAUUAUUAUUAUCGAUAUUAUUUAAUUAUGAAAAUUAGUAUUAAAUUAAUAUUUAAUCGAUAGAAAUUAAUUCGAUGUAAUAAAUAUAACAUAUGCACGUAUAUUUUAAAACAAAUGCGAAUCAUAUGUAUUAUCAUAUUUAUGCAAAAAAUAUAUUUCACUGAAAUCACAAAUCAUACUUCUAAUCACACAACGUAUUUCCGUAAAUCAUUGUUUUAUUCUAUAAAAAAAUAUAUUUAUGUUUAAUAAUUAUAUUUUUAUCUAUAACUAUUUUCUAAAAUAUACGAUAUUUAAUACAGAGAAAGAAAGUUGUCAUUUUACUAUCCGAAACGAAAAUUCUACCAACCAUAUUUAAUAAUUUCGAUAAUCGAGGUUAUACUGUAUAGAAUGAAACUUACAAGUAUCGCUCAUUAUCGAUAGUUCUUCGAUAUCCCCAAUUAAGAAUAUAUGUAAAUAUUUAAUUCUUAUUUGAUUCUCUAUUCUAUUUUCCGCUAUUUUUCUUUUAUUCCCGCAAAAAAUUUUAAUCUGAAACAAAGAAAAUCAGUGAAUCAGUAAUUGCCUAUCUCACACUAUUUGAAACAUCAGUUUCGCAAAGAAGAGACUAUCGAUAUCGGAGAGUACGCGAUAUCGAGCUCUCGCGUGCAAUAUCCCCCAGUCAAUAACAUCUUCCGGACAUUUAUGCAACGUUCAGAGAGUUGCUAUCAGUGACCAUCCUCCUCACUGGGUAUCCACUGCAAACGUUCUAUGCAUAUCGAAUAGGAUCGUCCGGUACAAUGACCACUUUUCGUGGGCGAAACUUAACCUGCAUACGCUCGGAAACGUUAUCGAUACAUGUUCUCCAUGUCGUCAUUGACGUUCUCUCUGUUCACGUACGAUACGCGUGACUCCAUGUACACGUUUGUGUGAGUGAAGGAUCCGGCCAAUAGGAUCUGAUCAACGAUCACAUGGGACGAAUAUAGCGCUAUCCUUCGAUAGUUACGAAGACUGUCGAUUCUAGAAAGUUGAUGUAGAAGUGCUAUAUCAUGGUAACGAGGAUGUGGAAUAAUGAAAGUGGAUCAAUUUUCGGUCACUGGGUCGCCUUAUGCUGGAACAUCAGAUUUGUGUCGAGUAAUAUUGUUCCGUAAAUCUUUUGCGGGAGAAAAUGCAUUUACGCUUGGAAAAGACUGUUGUGUGUGUUCAACUUGUGGUAUAAGAAAAAAGUUCUAUAGUCUAUGGUUAUAUACACUGGAACAAUUCUCUAUUCGCGCGAAAUUUAGUUGCGAAAACAAAAUUGACCAACAUCGAGGAAUCACUGCGAAGGAAAAGCGGGGAACAGAAGUUGGGCAUGCACGUGAAUAGGUCGACUAAUUGCGAUCUCGAGAAACUGAUUGUUAGAGAUAUGACAAAAUAUUUGGAUGAAGGAUUCUAUUUUAUACUGAUUAUAAAUCAUCAUAUAUAUAUGAAUCCCAGAUAUUUUAAUUAACAAAACAAUAACCAAUUGUACUUCGAUACCUGUUGAAUUUUGGGAACAUUCCAUGUUAAUUUAAUGAUCCGAGGACUAUAAUAGGAGCUUUGGUUCAUUUUUAAAUGAUUAAAUGUUCGUGAACCACCAUAGAAAGACCCUCUUCCUCCGCAUUAUGAUUGUACACCGUGGAGUUAAGUUGAUCGCGAGUUGACGUGUUACGCAUGAAUGGCCAUCGAAAUCAUCGCGCUUGGGCACAAUUACGAUGCCAGAUAACAGAACUGUCGGUCAAUCAGAAUAGCCCAUUAAUUGUCGAUGCGCAAAAACGGAAAUCAGAUAAUUGGAUUUCUGCCGCGUAUCGGUCCGGCUAUACAUAUAUCAAUGCUCGAAUUAUGAGACGAUUAAUAAUCAUUCAACUAUCAUCAAUCAUCUUACCAUCUUAUGAGGGUGUUUGUUGAUUGCCAAUUGAAAAUUUUAAAACAGAGACAGGCCCAUUUUAUUUGAAAUGAAAUAACGAUGUGUGAUUAUUUUAUAUAA